GAGAAUGGCUCUAUAUAAACAGGGCAGCCACAGGGAGGAGGAACACAAGGAGCAGGAGAGAGAAAAGCAAGGGGGAAGCCAUGAUGGAUCCGAGAGCACAAAACAGAAGCGGCCAAAUCUGCGGCGGAGCCUCCCGGUACUGAAUAAUGAUGUCUCUGACGGAGAUGCUUGUUGAGAUACGGGAAAAGUACACACAGAGAAAAUUCCAGAAUCCAUUCAAAGAGAUGGAACGAAUGGCGGCCUUGGAUGCUGAAGUGGUUGGCAUGUCAUACUCCACAUCCGCAUAGCGGACAAAAUUGGAAGGCAC